rnacentral:lncRNA from 12 species
GGGGGGGGGGGGGGGGGGGGGCGGGGUCCCGUUGUCACUGUCCCUGCUGUCACUGUCCCUGUCCCUCCCCGUCAGUGUCACUGUCCUGCUCUCACUGUCCCCAUUGCUGUCCCUGUCCCCUGUCCCCACUGUCCCCAUCACUGUCCCGCUGUCACUGUCCCACUGCCACCAUCCCUGUCCCUGUUCCUGUCCCACUGUCACCAUUGCUGUCCCCUCCCUGUCCCCACUGUCCCUGUCGCUGUCCCUGUCGCUGUCCCUGUGACCAUGGCUGUCCCUGUCCCUGCAGUGACUGUCCCUGUCCCUGUCACACAGUGUCCCUGUCCCUGUGACAGUGUCACUGUCCCCGCAGGUGGCAGAUCUGUGGACAGGCUGUGCCGGGGGGUGUUUGCCGGGCUGUCCCUGUGACACUGUCCUUGUGACAAUGUCCCUGUCCCUGCAGUGACUGUCCCUGUUCCCGUGACACUGUCCCCGUCCCUGUGACACUGUCCCCGUCCCUGUGUCACUGUCCCUGUCCCGCAGGUGGCCGAUCUGGCCGUGGACAGCCUGUGCCGGGGGGUGUUUGCCGGGCUGUCCCUGUGACACUGUCCUUGUGACAAUGUCCCUGUCCCUGUGACACUGUCCCUGUCCCUGUGACACCGUCCCCGUCCCUGUGUCACUGUCCCCGUCCCACAGGUGGCCGAUCUGGCCGUGGACAGCCUGUGCCGGGGGGUGUUUGCCGGGCUGUCCCUGUGACACUGUCCUUGUGACAAUGUCCCUGUCCCUGUGACACUGUCCCUGUCCCGCAGGUGGCGGAUCUGGCCGUGUACAGCCUGUGCCGGGGGGGUGUUUGCAGGGCUGUCCCUGUCCCUGUGACGCUGUCCCCGUCCCUGUGACACUGUCCCUGUCACACACUGUCACUGUCCCUGUCCCUGUGACACUGUCCCUGUCACACACUGACACUGUCCCCGUCCCGCAGGUGGCGGAUCUGGCCGUGGACAGCCUGUGCCGGGGGGUGUUCGCCGGUGACAGCCGCGCCCUCAGCGUGCGCUCCUGCUUCCCCGCCCUGUUCCAGGCCGAGCGGCGCCGCGGCUCCGUGCUGCUGGGGCUGGCCCUGCCACACGGUGGGGACACUGGGGACAGUGCUGGGGACACUGGGGACACUGCUGGGGACACUGGGGACACUGCUGGGGACACUGCUGGGGACACUGGGGACACUGCUGGGGCUGGCACUGCCACACGGUGGGGACACUGUGGGGACGCUGCUGGGGCUGGCACUGCCACACGGUUGGGACACUGUGGGGACGCUGCUGGGGACACUGGGACACUGUGGGGACAGUGGGGACACUGCUGGGGACACUGGGGACACUACUGGGGGCAUUGGGAAAACACUGCUGGGGACACUGGGACACUGUGGGGACAGUGGGGACACUGCCGGGCUGGGGCUGGCAUCUGGCGGGCACGGGGGCACCACGGGGGGCCGGGACGGGUGACACCCUGGGGACACCCCGGUGGCACCCGCGGGGGGGGGGGGGGGGGGGGGGGGGGGGGGGGGGGGGGGGGGGGGGGGGGGGGGGGGGGGGGGGGGGGGGGGGGGGGGGGGGGGGGGGGGGGGGGGGGGGGGGGGGGGGGGGGGGGGGGGGGGGGGGGGGGGGG